CAAGAUUUCUUUUGACUUGGAAAGUCCUUUGUGAAGUUGAAGUUUUGGGGUUUCUGUCUCAUAAUUUCUUUGACUUGAAAAGUCUUGUGUUUGUAAAGUUGAAGUUUGGUAGUUUCUGUCUCAUAAUUUAUUUGACUUGGAAAGUCUUGAAUUUGUAAAGUUGAAGUUUGGUAGUUUCUGUCUCAUAAUUUAUUUGACUUGGAAAGUCUUGAAUUUGUAAAGUUGAAGUUUUGGGGGUUUCUGUCUCCAGAUUUCUUUUGACUUGGAAAGUCCUUUGUAAAGUUGAUGUUUUGUGAUUUCUGUCUCAUCAUUUCUUUGACUUGGAAAGUCUUGAGUUUGUAAAGUUCAGGUUUUGUGGUUUCUAUCUCAUAAUUUCUUUGACUUGGAAAA